GAUGUCUGGGUAAGUGCUACAAUUGAUCUGUUUAAAAAGGUCCAAUGUGACUGGCUGGCUAGUAAAGGUCCAAUGUGACUGGCUGGCUAGUAAAGGUCAAAUGUGACUGGCUGGCUAGUAAAGGUCAAAUGUGACUGGCUGGCUAGUAAAGGUCAAAUGUGACUGGCUGGCUAGUAAAGGUCAAAUGUGACUGGCUGGCUAGUAAAGGUCAAAUGUGACUGGCUGGCUAGUAAAGGUCAAAUGUGACUGGCUGGCUAGUAAAGGUCCAAUGUGACUGGCUGGCUAGUAAAGGUCAAAUGUGACUGGCUGGCUAGUAAAGGUCAAAUGUGACUGGCUGGCUAGUAAAGGUCAAAUGUGACUGGCUGGCUAGUAAAGGUCAAAUGUGACUGGCUGGCUAGUAAAGGUCAAAUGUGACUGGCUGGCUAGUAAAGGUCAAACGUGACUGGCUGGCUAGUAAAGGUCAAACGUGACUGGCUGGCUAGUAAAGGUCAAACGUGACUGGCUGGCUAGUAAAGGUCAAACGUGACUGGCUGGCUAGUAAAGGUCAAACGUGACUGGCUGGCUAGUAAAGGUCAAACGUGACUGGCUGGCUAGUAAAGGUCAAACGUGACUGGCUGGCUAGUAAAGGUCAAACGUGACUGGCUGGCUAGUAAAGGUCAAACGUGACUGGCUGGCUAGUAAAGGUCAAACGUGACUGGCUGGCUAGUAAAGGUCAAACGUGACUGGCUGGCUAGUAAAGGUCAAACGUGACUGGCUGGCUAGUAAAGGUCAAACGUGACUGGCUGGCUAGUAAAGGUCAAACGUGACUGGCUGGCUAGUAAAGGUCAAAUGUGACUGGCUGGCUAGUAAAGGUCCAAUGUGACUGGCUGGCUAGUAAAGGUCCAAUGUGACUGGCUGGCUAGUAAAGGUCCAAUGUGACUGGCUGGCUAGUAAAGGUCAAAUGUGACUGGCUGGCUAGUAAAGGUCAAAUGUGACUGGCUGGCUAGUAAAGGUCAAAUGUGACUGGCUGGCUAGUAAAGGUAAAAUGUGACUGGCUGGCUAGUAAAGGUCAAAUGUGACUGGCUGGCUAGUAACGGUCAAAUGUGACUGGCUGGUUAAUAAAAAGGCAUCACAUGAGUCAGAAGUGGUGCCGUUCCCCACUCACAAAAAUUAAAGAUUCAAAUCUGAUUCAAAAUGUUCCGCGAAUAUUCAAAUCGUCGCCAAAAC